UCUAGCUCUGAUUGUCCAAACGCAAUUCUUGUUUUAUUCGAAUAUGAUAUCCAAGAGUUGUGACUGGACAUCCGUGGCUCGA
rfam:Aedes aegypti strain Liverpool supercont1.368 genomic scaffold, whole genome shotgun sequence.